AGUGAACGCUGGCGGUAGGCCUAACACAUGCAAGUCGAACGGCAGCACAGUAAGAGCUUGCUCUUACGGGUGGCGAGUGGCGGACGGGUGAGGAAUACAUCGGAAUCUACUUUUUCGUGGGGGAUAACGUAGGGAAACUUACGCUAAUACCGCAUACGACCUACGGGUGAAAGCAGGGGAUCUUCGGACCUUGCGCGAUUGAAUGAGCCGAUGUCGGAUUAGCUAGUUGGCGGGGUAAAGGCCCACCAAGGCGACGAUCCGUAGCUGGUCUGAGAGGAUGAUCAGCCACACUGGGACUGAGACACGGUCCAGACUCCUACGGGAGGCAGCAGUGGGGAAUAUUGGACAAUGGGCGCAAGCCUGAUCCAGCAAUGCCGCGUGGGUGAAGAAGGCCUUCGGGUUGUAAAGCCCUUUUGUUAGGAAAGAAAAGCAGCAGGUUAAUACCCCGCUGUUCUGACGGUACCCAAAGAAUAAGCACCGGCUAACUUCGUG
rnacentral:rRNA from 1 species